GGUUCAGGAUGAACGCUAGCGACAGGCCUAACACAUGCAAGUCGAGGGGCAGCACAAGGAGCAAUCUGAGGUGGCGACCGGCGCACGGGUGAGUAACACGUAUGCAACCUGCCUGUAAGCGGGGAAUAACCCGUUGAAAGACGGACUAAUACCGCAUAAUACUAAAUUACUGCAUGGUAAUUAUUUAAACAUUUAUGGCUUACAGAUGGGCAUGCGCAUGAUUAGCUAGUUGGAGAGGUAACGGCUCCCCAAGGCAACGAUCAUUAGGGGUUCUGAGAGGAAGGUCCCCCACACUGGUACUGAGACACGGACCAGACUCCUACGGGAGGCAGCAGUGAGGAAUAUUGGUCAAUGGACGAGAGUCUGAACCAGCCAAGUCGCGUGCAGGAAGAAUGUUCCCUAUGGAUUGUAAACUGCUUUUGCAGGGGAAUAAAGUGCAUCACGUGUGAUGUUUUGUAUGUACUCUGCGAAUAAGGAUCGGCUAACUCCGUGCCAGCCGCGGC
rnacentral:rRNA from 1 species